UACGUAGGGUGCGAGCGUUAAUCGGAAUUACUGGGCGUAAAGCGUGCGCAGGCGGUUUUGUAAGCCAGGGGUGAAAUCCCUGGGCUCAACCUGGGAAUGGCAUUUGGGACUGCAAGGCUGGAGUGCGGCAGAGGAGACUGGAAUUCCUGGUGUAGCAGUGAAAUGCGUAGAUAUCAGGAGGAACACCGAUGGCGAAGGCAGGCCUCUGGGCUGACACUGACGCUCAUGCACGAAAGCGUGGGGAGCAAACAGG
rnacentral:rRNA from 1 species